rnacentral:Y_RNA from 1 species
GGUUGGUCUGAGUGUAGUGGUGUCUACAACUAAUUGAUCACAACCAGUUACAGAUUCCUUUGUUCCUUCUCCACUCCCACUGCUCCACUUGACCAGAAAA